UAGAUAUAGCCUAAAAAACCUCCACUUACGGAUUCACAUACUGGUUGGUAUGUUCAUCAAGUUCUCGAUUACUACUUACGGUGCCCACUGACUCCCUUUAAUGGUACGCCAAGAUAUCGCUCAUAAUGACUGCAAAGGCAUAUUUAUUAGCCAGCUGUGGGAUACUGCCCUAAAGCUGCUGUUCCGGUGAUUAGAUCAAAAUAGAGUUCUUUCUACAAGAGCAUCUCAAGUUGGUCAGGCGUCCCCAGGAGUGUUUCGAUAUCAGCAAGCACAUUCUAACUAUCUAUAAAUGGCAUUUCGAGGUGAGAGAGAGUUCCAGCAUAUUACACAAAAGAGUGGGUAGACACAUGCGUUGAGGCAUUCCCUACAACAGGUGGAUAAAGCCGUUUCUAGGCCAUAGAAAAACAUAGCAUGUGACAUUUAUUUACAUA